rnacentral:rRNA from 1 species
GAUGAACGCUGGCGGCGUGCCUAAUACAUGCAAGUCGAGCGAACAGACGAGGAGCUUGCUCCUCUGACGUUAGCGGCGGACGGGUGAGUAACACGUGGAUAACCUACCUAUAAGACUGGGAUAACUUCGGGAAACCGGAGCUAAUACCGGAUAAUAUAUUGAACCGCAUGGUUCAAUAGUUAAAGACGGUUUUGCUGUCACUUAUAGAUGGAUCCGCGCCGCAUUAGCUAGUUGGUAAGGUAACGGCUUACCAAGGCGACGAUGCGUAGCCGACCUGAGAGGGUGAUCGGCCACACGGGAACUGAGACACGGUCCAGACUCCUACGGGAGGCAGCAGUAGGGAAUCUUCCGCAAUGGGCGAAAGCCUGACGGAGCAACGCCGCGUGAGUGAUGAAGGUCUUCGGAUCGUAAAACUCUGUUAUUAGGGAAGAACAAAUGUGUAAGUAACUAUGCACGUCUUGACGGUACCUAAUCAGAAAGCCACGGCUAACUACGUG